UGUUGCACAUCUGGAGAGUUUGGCCUUGUUGGAGAUGAAGAAGAGGGCAAAGUUUAAAUUUGACUGACAUAUUGACUUCUCUGUUAUUUAUCUAACAGCUUCUCAGGUAAUCAUGGAAUUUGAACCAACAGUCGUGUCACUUUUCAUUUUUGCAGCCAAAUGCAUAUUACAGCGGAUGUGGAGGAGGAAUGAAAGUGAAACUGUCACUACGCCACGUCCGCGCCGAAGACCUGCUCUCCCGCUUCAAAUGUCGCAGUUGAAUUCAUAUUUACCACAGACUGAUUUUCUUGGGCUUUGGACUGUUGGUCGAAGAAAAAGAGACAUAUGAAGAUUUCACCUUUAACAGAGUGAUCGUGCCAAAGACUGUCCCCCAGCCUUCAGCAUGAAACACAAAAAGAAACAAAAAAGGAGAUAAACAGCAAGUGGCGUUAAUUCUCCAUUAAACCGUUGCAGAAGAAGAGGACACAACAAGAUGAUGUCAUUAAAAGAGCGGCAGUCAAAGCUGAAACCAUGCACAACCAUGUGGAAAACGUGAUGGAAAUAUGACAUUUCUGUUAGUUUCAUGUAUCGAUGUGAGGAAGGUAACAGUCUCCUCA